rnacentral:rRNA from 1 species
CAAAACCUGGUUGAUCCUGCCAGUAGUCAUAUGCUUGUUUCGAGGAUUAAGCCAUGCAAGUCUCAGAGUAAACGUUAUACGUGGGUCUGCGAACGGCUCAUUAAAUCAGUUAUCAAAUACGUGAUGGUCGCCUACUACAUGGAUAACCGUAGUAAUUCUAGAGCUAAUACAUGCACAAAGGCCCACUCACGUGGG